rnacentral:rRNA from 1 species
AUUGAACGCUGGCGGCAGGCCUAACACAUGCAAGUCGAGCGAGGGCGGACGGGUGAGUAAUGUCUGGGAAACUGCCUGAUGGAGGGGGAUAACUACUGGAAACGGUAGCUAAUACCGCAUACCAUCAGAUGUGCCCAGAUGGGAUAAGCUGGUAGGUGGGGUAAUGGCUCACCUAGGCGACGAUCCCUAGCUGGUCUGAGAGGAUGACCAGCCACACUGGAACGGAGAAUCGGUCCAGACUCCUACGGAAGGAAGGAGUGGGGAAUAUUGCAAAAUGGGCGCAAACCUGAUGCAGCAAUGCCGCGUGUGUGAAAAAGGCCUUCGGGUUGUAAAGCACUUUCAGCGGGGAGGCGUUACCCGCAGAAGAAGCACCGGCUAACUCCGUGCCAGCAGCCGCGGUAAUAC